CAAUUGAAUAAAACCAACAUGCAGAAGGAUGAGGCAGAAAAGGAGCACAGAGUAAAGAAGAAAAAUUUAAAAAGAAAAACUAAAAGGGACCUUAAGUCAGGAAACAGAAAAAUUGAGAUUGGAACUGACUGAUAGCAAGCAUUGUAACAGGAGCAGAAGGCUGUCGGAGGAGUGUCUGAAACUGACAGAACUGCUGAGCAAGUCUGAGCACCAACUGCACCUCUCAGGAUAUCAUGAAUACGGGCAUCAAGGAAAUGGCACAAAGAGUUACAUACCUUCCAUAUACUAGGCUCCCAGUUCAAUCCCAGGAACUGCAUGCCAGCCCACACCCCAAGCAUUACAGGAUGUGGCUCUGCUUGCUACUGACCACCACUGAGGUGGUCCGGCACUUCUGAGCCAGAGUGUGAACCCACAUCCUAGCCUGAACACUGAACUGUAAAAGACUGGCACCCUAGAUUUACUCUUUCUCUAGAAGUUCCUUGGCUAUAGAGAGGGAAUGAUGAACUGAAGUAAUGGUGUAUCCAGCAUGGCAGACUACGUGAGUGAACAAAAAAUGCACUUUAGACAGCAAAGUAUCCAGUCAAACCAAAG